CUGGGAGGUGCGGGCCGAGCGGCUCAGUGCGCCCGCGGCCGGCCGAGGGAGCCGCUCCUCCUGUCCCCGGCCCGCGUCCCAUCCCCCGGUCCCCGCGCCCCGGUGCCCGGGUCGGUCCCCGUCCGGGUCGCCCGGUCCCGGCGCUCGGGCCGGCAGUCCCAUCGCCGUGCCCCCCGGCCCCCGGUCCUCGUCAGUCGUCACUCAGGCCCCGUCCCGGUCACCAGACCGGCGUGCUCGUUCCCGUCCCGCCUCCCGGGCCGGUCACCUGGGCCCCGUCACCGGGUCCCCGUCCCCUGCUCCCCGGCCAAGCGGCUCCGGCGCCGCGGCGGGGCCGAGCGCAGCCAGGCGGGCCCCCUGUCCCCUCUGUGCACCCUCUUCCGACCUCGGGACCGCGCUGCUCCCCUCCUUCGUCCUCAGCUCCGUCCCUCCCGUCCCUCCCGUCCCUCCCGUCGCUCCCUUCCCUCCGACCUCUGGGCGCCCUGUCCCCUCAGGACCCUCUGUUCCCCCCGACCGCCUCCAUCUCCUCUGACCCUUCUCUGUCCCCCGACCUUCGUCCUCCGCUGUCCCCUGUCCAUCUUCUGUCCCGCCCCGUCAGUCUUCUGUCCACCGCCCCCCAUUCUCUGUCCAUUUCCUGUCCCCCCAUCAAUCUUCUGUCCACCGCCACCCAUCUUCUGUCCCCCCGGUCAAUCUUCUGUCCACCGCCCCCCCAUCUUCUGUCCCCCAUCCAUCUUCUGUCCCCCCGUCCAUCUUCUGUCCCCCCGUCCAUCUUCUGUCCCUGCUGCCCCCAUUCUCCUGCCCCCCGUCCAUCUUCUGUCUCCGCUGCCCCCAUUCUCCUGUCCCCCGUCCAUCUUCUGUCCCCCGUCCAUCUUCUGUCCCCCCCGUCAAUCAUCUGUCCACCGCCCCCAUUCUCCUCUGUCCCCCGUCCAUCUUCUGUCCCCGCUGCCCCCAUUCUCCUCUGUCCCCCGUCCAUCUUCUGUCUCCGCUGCCCCCAUUCUCCUGCCCCCCGUCCAUCUUCUGUCCCCCCCUGUCAAUCAUCUGUCCACCGCCCCCAUCCUCUGUCCCCCGUCCAUCUUCUGUCCCCGCUGCCCCCAUUCUCCUCUGUCCCCCGUCCAUCUUGUCUCCGCUGCCCCCAUUCUCCUGUCCCCCGUCCAUCUUCUGUCCCCCCCGUCAAUCAUCUGUCCACCGCCCCCCAUCCUCUGUUCCCCCGUCCAUCUUCUGUCUCCGCUGCCCCCAUUCUCCUCUGUCCCCCGUCCAUCUUCUGUCUCUGCUGCCCCCAUUCUCUUCUGUCUCCCGUCCAUCUUCUGUCCCCCCCGUCAAUCAUCUGUCCACCGCCCCCCAUCCUCUGUCCCCCGUCCAUUCUUCUGUCCCCGCUGCCCCCAUUCUCCUCUGGUCCCCUGUCCAUCUUCUGUCCCCGCUGCCCCCAUUCUCCUCUGUCCCCCGUCCAUCUUCUGUCCCCGCUGCCCCCAUUCUCCUCUGUCCCCCGUCCAUCUUCUGUCUCCGCUUGCCCCCAUUCUCCUCUGUCCCCUGUCCAUCUUCUGUCCCCCCCGUCAAUCUUCUGUCCACCACACCCCCCCCGUGUCCUUCAUCCGUCUUCUGUCUCCCCUGCCCCCAUUCUCCUCUGUCCCCUGUCCAUCUUCUGUCCCCCCCGUCAAUCUUCUGUCCACCGCCUCCCAUCCUGUUCCCUGUCCAUCUUCUGUCCCCCCCCCCGUCAAUCUUCUGUCCACCACACCCCCCUGUGUCCUUCAUCCACCUUCUGUCCCCGCUGCCCCCAUUCUCCUCUGUCCCCUGUCCAUCUUCUGUCUCCGCUGCCCCCAUUCUCCUCUGUCCCCCGUCCAUCUUCUGUCCCCGCUGCCCCCAUUCUCCUCUGUCCCCUGUCCAUCUUCUGUCCCCCCCGUCAAUCUUCUGUCCACCACACCCCCCCCCCCCCGUCAAUCAUCUGUCCACCGCCCCCCAUCCUCUGUCCCCCGUCCAUCUUCUGUCUCCGCUGCCCCCAUUCUCCUCUGUCCCCCGUCCACCUUCUGUCCCCCCCGUCAAUCAUCUGUCCACCGCCCCCCAUCCUCUGUCCCCCUCCAUCUUCUGUCUCCGCUGCCCCCAUUCUCCUCUGUCCCCCGUCCAUCUUCUGUCUCCCCUGCCCCCAUUCUCCUCUGUCCCCUGUCCAUCUUCUGUCUCCCCUGCCCCCAUUCUCCUCUGUCCCCCGUCCAUCUUCUGUUCCCCUUGUCUCUGCCUCAUCCCGCUCAGGCCUCAGGCCCAUAGUGCUGGUGACUCCUGGUUGUGUCGUGAGGGUCUGGAAGGCCUGAGUGCUGGGUGCGAAUCGGAGUCCCCCCUUGUGACUCCUUGUCUAGCACACACAUCUGUACGCCUGGGAAACCUGGAAUUGCAGGAAAAGGGUCAAAAUACCUAGAAGGCCGAUGUUGGAUCUGCUGUCUUUGAGGGGGAUAGUUUAGGAUAACACUCGGAUUCUGUGAGAAAGAAUUUGGCCUUAAAAAAAAGAAAUGCCUCGAGGUGCCUGGUGGUGCAGUCGGUUUAGCGUCCGACGUCGGCUCCGGUCGUGAUCUCACAGUUGGUGGGUUCGAACCCUGCAUUGGGCUCUGCGCUGACAGCUCAGAGCCUGGAGCUGCUUCGGAUUCUGUCUCUCCCUCUCCCUCUGCUUCUCCCCACUCACGCUCUGUCUCUCUCUCUCUGUUUCUCAAAAAUAAAUAAAAGUUAAAAAAAAAAAAAGAGAGAGAU
rnacentral:lncRNA from 1 species